rnacentral:rRNA from 1 species
UACGGGGGGAGCAAGCGUUGUUCGGAUUUACUGGGCGUAAAGGGCGCGUAGGCGGUCGUGACAAGUCACUUGUGAAAUCUCCGGGCUUAACCCCGGGCCUGCAGUGGGUACGGGCAGACUAGAGUGCUGUAGGGGAGACUGGAAUUCCUGGUGUAGCGGUGGAAUGCGCAGAUAUCAGGAGGAACACCGAUGGCGAAGGCAGGUCUCUGGGCAGUUACUGACGCUGAGGAGCGAAAGCAUGGGGAGCGAACAGG